rnacentral:rRNA from 1 species
UACGUAGGGUCCGAGCGUUUGUCCGGAAUUACUGGGCGUAAAGAGCUCGUAGGUGGUUUGUCGCGUUGUUCGUGAAAACUCACAGCUCAACUGUGGGCGUGCGGGCGAUACGGGCAGACUAGAGUACUGCAGGGGAGACUGGAAUUCCUGGUGUAGCGGUGAAAUGCGUAGAUAUCAGGAGGAACACCCAUGGCGAAGGCAGCAAACUGGUCCGUAUCUGACGCUGAGGCGCGAAAGCGUGGGUAGCAAACAGG